AAUUAGCGCUUUACCUGAAUAUUGACAUUUUGCUGAGGCUGUUUUCUUCUUUCUUAUUGCUGGAUCUGGGUAUUCAAAUUCUUUCCCCAGCAUUGCUGUUAGAGAAGAGGACCCGACGUCCGAUCCUUCACCUUCAUUUACGACACCUCGUACGACGCUCCAGAAGCGUACGGCCACCACCAAGAAGACGGGACAUAUCCAAUGGGACAUUCCGCAGCCCCCGCUGGACGACAUCAACCUGAAACCAAUGGUAAGAGACGAACCGGUCAAAGAAGCACAACCCAGUCUGGAGUAUCUUCCGCCGGUGGUAGAAGCAGUCAACGAAGCUCCUGGGGGCUACCCCAGAGAGAACCCGUCCGAUCAUGUGAAUCUUAAACCACAGGCCGCUAAUGUCCAAGUGGAGGUCCAUGCCCAGGUUGGCGUCGUUCAGCAUAGGAGAAGGCCGGUACCGGUACGCCACCCAGGCCGUUGGCGGUCGCUCCUGGAAAUGGGGGUGGGGGAAG